rnacentral:rRNA from 1 species
GUAGGUCCCGAGCGUUGUCCGGAUUUAUUGGGCGUAAAGCGAGCCCAGGCAGUUUGAUAAGUCUGAAGUUAAAGGCUGUGGCUCAACCAUAGUUCGCUUUGGAAACUGUCAAACUUGAGUGCAGAAGGGGAGAGUGGAAUUCCAUGUGUAGCGGUGAAAUUCGUAGAUAUUCGGAAGAACACCAGUGGCGAAGGCGACUCACUGGACACAUAUUGACGCUGAGGUGCGAAAGCGUGGGGAGCAACCAGGAUUAGAUACCCUGGUAGUCCACGCCGUAAACUAUGAGUGCUAGGUGUUGGAUCCUUUCCGGGAUUCAGUGCCGAAGCUAACGCAUUAAGCACUCCGCCUGGGGAGUACGACCGCAAGGUUG